CCCCAGGGGCUGCUCCAAGUCUCAGGGGUAUGAGGCCCAAGCACCCCGCAGGAGUAAGAGCAAAAACUGUUGGAACACGACGGACUCUAGGACCCGAGAGGAGGGGGACAAAGAGCAAAGGGGGACAGGAGGGGACAGGCCCCCGGGAGGUGAAGUUUACAACUGCCACUUCCGGAGCUGAAAACACUGGCUGCUCUCGCAGACCUUCUCAGACUUUCACAGGGUGGUGCUCUGUUGCCCAGGCUGGAGUAUAGUGGCACAAUCAGGCCUCACUGCAGCCUCAACCUCCAGGGCUCAAGCCGUCUUCCUGCCUCAGCCUCCUGAGUAGCUGGAGCUACUUAAAAUUUUAUUUGUGUUUUAACAAAAUCACAAAAGUGAAUAUUGUAUGGCAAGAAUAAAUGCUGUGUACUAUAUUGCAUGUUUUUGAAAUGAAAAAUGGAUGUGAUAUAAAGACUUGCACUUUAUUUGUUCAUUCAGCAUUUAUAUAAUACAGACUAUGUACCCAACAUGGAGCUAGGUGAUAGAAAUUACAGGGGAAUGAUGAUAUCAACCCUGAACACCCAGAAAGGAUUCAUAGAAAAGAACUUUGAGUUUAGUCAGAGAAGAUAAAGAUUUAUUAAGAUAUCAAGAAACUAGAUGGAAGACGUGGAAGCUGCAAACGCCAGCACAAGAACCAGCAUGAGACAUUUGAAAAGCUAGAAAAAGCUGUGUGUUCAAAGGAGGUGUGAGCGAUGAGGCUAGAGAAAUAUGCAGAACCCAGAUCACAGAGGAAUUUCUACAUCAUACUUUGGAGUUUAUCCAGCAAUGAAGCUAAUGAAGGGUUUUAAGCUGAAAAAAAUAUAAUAAUUACACAAUAAAUCAGAUCAUUAGAAAAUGUGCAGAGAUUUUCUGUUUUUCUAGUAGAUACAAGGUCAAUUCUCUGUUGUCUUUGUUUAACAUGCUACUACUACUUGAGAAAAGCUAUAUAAAGAGAUGUUCUCCUACCUACUUAUCUUUUGGCCUCAACAUCAUUUCUCCCUAGUCUUUCUACCAAUCCUUUUGAGAUAUGAUUAAAUUCAUUCAUCCCCACCACUCUACCCACAGCUUGCAAAGUUAGUAGUUACAUCAUUACCAAAUCUCAGACCCCUUGACUUUGCUGACACAGGUUAAUAUUCAGAUGUCUCUUCAGCAUAGGUGAGACUCUACACUCCACAGCUUCUCCAACUAUCUGAACUUUCUACUGCUGCUCAGGAAACCAUUCUUCCCUUCCUGCCCCUCGAAGUGAUAUUUUCUCAGUUUCUGCCCUCAUCCUUCCCAACAUUUGUACCAGAUAAGCAGCCUAAGUGAUGUCAUCCAUUCCUGCAAGUAUGAACUCCAUGACCCCAAUAUUCAACUCUUUAUAUCCAUCUCUGACCUCUCCUGAGCUCUAGUUUGAAUUUCUAACUCCUGUUUGAACAGUGCCACUCUAAUUUCUGGCAAUACUUAAUGUAAUACAACUAAAUUUUAAUUAUCUUUUUUUUUUUUUUUUUGAGACGGAGUUUCGCUCUUGUUACCCAGGCUGGAGUGCAAUGGCGCGAUCUCGGCUCACCGCAACCUCCACCUCCUGGGUUCAGGCAAUUCUCCUGCCUCAGCCUCCUGAGUAGCUGGGAUAACAGGCAUGUGCCACCAUGCCCAGCUAAAUUUUUGUAUUUUUUUUAGUAGAGAUGGGGUUUCACCAUGUUGACCAGGAUGGUCUUGAUUUCUUGACCUCGUGAUCCACCCACCUCGGCCUCCCAAAGUGCUGGGAUUACAGGAGUGAGCUACCACGCCCAGCUUAAUUAUCUUUAUAACUUCUCCUGGGCGUCUCUAAACUACUCUUCCACCUGUUUAAAAAAAAUUCUAAUCUCCUAGACACCUGGGCAAGAAAAACGCUACAAAUUGUUUUUGCAUCUUUCUCUCUCAAGCUCUCACUUCCUGCAAGCAGGAUUCCUACUUUUUCUCUAAAUCUCCUGUCCUCUUUCUGUCCUCUUUCUACUGACUACUAAGUAGCUUCGUCUGGUUCCUUAUUGCUUCCUAUUGAGAAACUUGUAAUCAGGACCUUCCUUGU
rnacentral:lncRNA from 1 species